GACGAACGCUGGCGGCGUGCUUAACACAUGCAAGUCGAACGGAAAGGCUCCAGCUUGCUGGAGUACUCGAGUGGCGAACGGGUGAGUAACACGUGGGUAAUCUGCCCUGCACUCUGGGAUAAGCCUGGGAAACUGGGUCUAAUACUGGAUAUGACCUUUCUCCUUAUGGGGUUUGGUGGAAAGUUUUUCGGUGUAGGAUGAGCCCGCGGCCUAUCAGCUUGUUGGUGGGGUGAUGGCCUACCAAGGCGACGACGGGUAGCCGGCCUGAGAGGGUGAUCGGCCACAUUGGGACUGAGAUACGGCCCAGACUCCUACGGGAGGCAGCAGGGGGGAAUAUUGCACAAUGGGCGGAAGCCUGAUGCAGCGACGCCGCGUGAGGGAUGACGGCCUUCGGGUUGUAAACCUCUUUCAGCAGGGACGAAGCGUAAGUGACGGUACCUGCAGAAGAAGCACCGGCUAACUAUGUG
rnacentral:rRNA from 1 species